rnacentral:rRNA from 1 species
GACGAACGCUGGCGGCGUGCUUAACACAUGCAAGUCGAACGAUGAAGCUGGAGCUUGCUCUGGCGGAUUAGUGGCGAACGGGUGAGUAACACGUGAGAAAUCUGCCCUUGACUCUGGGAUAACUGCGGGAAACUGUAGCUAAUACCGGAUACUUUCCCUGGUGGGCAUCCACUGGGGAAGAAAGAAUUUCGGUCAAGGAUGAUCUCGCGGCCUAUCAACUUGUUGGGGAGGUAAUGGCUCACCAAGGCGACGACGGGUAGCCGGCCCGAGAGGGCGACCGGCCACACUGGGACUGGGACACGGCACAGACACCUACGGGAGGCAGCAGUGGGGAAUAUUGCACAAUGGGGGCAAGCCUGAUGCAGCAACGCCGCGUGAGGGAUGAAGGCCUUCGGGUUGUAAACCUCUUUUAGCAGGGAAGAAGCGAAAGUGACGGUACCUGCAGAAAAAGCACCGGCUAACUACGUGCCAGCCGCCGCCGUAA